CGGCAGCACGGGAGCUUGCUCCUGGUGGCGAGUGGCGAACGGGUGAGUAAUGCAUCGGAACGUGCCCUGAAGUGGGGGAUAACGUAGCGAAAGUUACGCUAAUACCGCAUAUUCUGUGAGCAGGAAAGCAGGGGAUCUUCGGACCUUGCGCUUUUGGAGCGGCCGAUGUCGGAUUAGCUAGUUGGUGGGAUAAAGGCCCACCAAGGCGACGAUCCGUAGCGGGUCUGAGAGGAUGAUCCGCCACACUGGAACUGAGACACGGUCCAGACUCCUACGGGAGGCAGCAGUGGGGAAUUUUGGACAAUGGGCGCAAGCCUGAUCCAGCCAUGCCGCGUGAGUGAAGAAGGCCUUCGGGUUGUAAAGCUCUUUCGGUGGGGAAGAAAUUGCUUGGGUUAAUACCCUGAGUAGAUGACGGUACCCGCAUAAGAAGCACCGGCUAACUACGUGCCAGCAGCCGCGGUAAUACGUAGGGUGCGAGCGUUAAUCGGAAUUACUGGGCGUAAAGCGUGCGCAGGCGGUUUUGUAAGUCAGAUGUGAAAUCCCCGGGCUCAACCUGGGAACUGCAUUUGAGACUGCAAGGCUAGAGUGUGGCAGAGGGGGGUAGAAUUCCACGUGUAGCAGUGAAAUGCGUAGAGAUGUGGAGGAAUACCGAUGGCGAAGGCAGCCCCCUGGGUCACUACUGACGCUCAUGCACGAAAGCGUGGGAGCAAACAGGAUUAGAUACCCUGGUAGUCCACGCCCUAAACGAUGUCAACUAGGUGUCGGGAGGGUUAAACCUUUUAGUGCCGUAGCUAACGCGUGAAGUUGACCGCCUGGGGAGUACGGCCGCAAGGCUAAAACUCAAAGGAAU
rnacentral:rRNA from 1 species